AAGGUUUGAGCCAAUCUCUCUUCCUCUCUUCAAUUUUCAGAACAUACCAAUCUCUCUUCCUCUCUUCACUUUUCAAAACAUACUCAUAUUUUUUUCUGAUUUACAGUUUAUACAGUGGUUCAUUUUUAAGGUAUUAUACUUGCAGCAAGAAAAUGCCUGGUUCAGUUGGUCACUGGGAACAAGCAGCGAAAACUUUUGCAGCAUGGGUAUGAGAAUGAUCAAGAUGUCUUAAAAAAAUUUUAGGUGAAGCAGUAUGUUUUGCUGUUAUAGGACAUGCCACUUAUGCUGAAGUUUUUGACCAAAAUGAAAUGCCAGAAGCAUUAUUCACCAGUAUCCACCAGAUGUGAUAAAGAAGUCCUCCUAUGAUGUUCAGUUCAUUAUGUUGCUGGUUCCGGUAUAAAAAGAUUGACUAUUGAGCUGGCACUGUAGCAGCUAUUCAAAAGGAAAAAAUGGGUCAGAUUGUGCUUUAAGAGACACAUUGGGUAUUGCAUUAAUAAUACGUGAUUGUAAUAGUUCCCUCUGGUUUACUAGAUAGCAAUAGCGCGUGAGUGAGUGUUUUUGUGUCUCUGGUGCAAAUAUUGUACUAUCCUAAUUGGUUAUAAUAGUCUAUUGUCGUAUAUCUAUAAAUAGAAUACUAUCCUAUCGGCGCUAGAACACUUUGUAAUUAGACAAGCACAAUGUAAAACAUGUCGGGCCCGUGAAUCGUACGGGGAGCCCUCAUGUAGUAAAAUAAUACUUAUGUCCAAAAUUCACUAAUGAGUAAAGAACGCAAUA